UACAGAGGUCCCAAGCGUUGUUCGGAUUCACUGGGCGUAAAGGGUGCGUAGGUGGUUAGGUAAGUCCGAUGUGAAAUCUCCAGGCCCAACCUGGAAAUGGCAUUGGAUACUAUCUAGCUUGAGGAGUGGAGGGGGGGACUGGAAUUCUCGGUGUAGCAGUGAAAUGCGUAGAUAUCGAGAGGAACACCAGUGGCGAAGGCGAGUCCCUGGACACUUCCUGACACUGAGGCACGAAAGCUAGGGGGAGCAAACAGG
rnacentral:rRNA from 1 species